UACAGAGGUCUCAAGCGUUGUUCGGAAUCACUGGGCGUAAAGGGUGUGUAGGCUGCGUGGAAAGUCGGAUGUGAAAUCCGGGGGCUCAACCUCCGAAUUGCAUUCGAUACUGCCGCGCUCGAGUUCUCAAGAGGGGUCUGGAAUUCUCGGUGUAGCAGUGAAAUGCGUAGAUAUCGAGAGGAACACUAGUGGCGAAGGCGAGACCCUGGGGAGAUACUGACGCUGAGGCACGAAGGCUAGGGUAGCAAACGGG
rnacentral:rRNA from 1 species